GUAGGUGGCAAGCGUUAUCCGGAUUUAUUGGGCGUAAAGCGAGCGCAGGCGGUCUUUUAAGUCUAAUGUGAAAGCCUUCGGCUCAACCGAAGAAGUGCAUUGGAAACUUGGAGACUUGAGUGCAGAAGAGGACAGUGGAACUCCAUGUGUAGCGGUGAAAUGCGUAGAUAUAUGGAAGAACACCAGUGGCGAAGGCGGCUGUCUGGUCUGUAACUGACGCUGAGGCUCGAAAGCAUGGGUAGCGAACAGGAUUAGAUACCCUGGUAGUCCAUGCCGUAAACGAUGAUUACUACGUGUUGGAGGGUUUCCGCCCUUCAGUGCUGCAGCUAACGCAUUAAGCAUUCCGCCUGGGGAGUACGACCGCAGGGUUG
rnacentral:rRNA from 1 species